rnacentral:misc_RNA from 1 species
GAUGAAGAACGGAGUGAAAUGCGAUAAGUAAUGUGAAUUGCAGAAUUCAGUGAAUCAUCGAAUCUUUGAACGCACAUUGCGCCCGCCAGUAUUCUGGCGGGCAUGCCUGUUCGAGCGUCAUUUCAACCCUCAAGCCCAGCUUGGUGUUGGGGAUCGGCACAGGCGCCCUCGGGCGCCCGCCGUCCCCUAAAUCUAGUGGCGGUCCCGCUGCAGCCUCCUCUGCGUAGUAGUUUUCUCCUCGCAAGGGCAGCUCGGUGGCGACCUCGCCGUAAAACCCCCAACUUCUGAAAGGUUGACCUCGAAUCAGGUAGGAAUACCCGCUGAACUUAAGCAUAUCAAUAAGCGGAGGA